GUGUCAGCAGCCGCGGUAAAACGUAGGAGGCGAGCGUUAUCCGGAUUUACUGGGUGUAAAGCGCAUGCAGGCGGUUCGCUAAGUUGGAUGUGAAAGCUCCUGGCUUAACUGGGAGAGGUCGUUCAAAACUGACGAACUCGAGGAUGGUAGAGGAAAGCGGAAUUCCGGGUGUAGUGGUGAAAUGCGUAGAUAUCCGGAGGAACACCAGUGGCGAAAGCGGCUUUCUGGACCAUGACUGACGCUCAGAUGCGAAAGCUAGGGUAGCAAACGGGAUUAGAAACCCGGGUAGUCC
rnacentral:rRNA from 1 species